GACGAACGCUGGCGGCGUGCUUAACACAUGCAAGUCGAACGGAAAGGCCCUGCUUUUGUGGGGUGCUCGAGUGGCGAACGGGUGAGUAACACGUGAGUAACCUGCCCUUGACUUUGGGAUAACUUCAGGAAACUGGGGCUAAUACCGGAUAGGAGCUCCUGCUGCAUGGUGGGGAUUGGAAAGUUUCGGCGGUUGGGGAUGGACUCGCGGCUUAUCAGCUUGUCGGUGGGGUAGUGGCUUACCAAGGCUUUGACGGGUAGCCGGCCUGAGAGGGUGACCGGCCACAAUGGGACUGAGAUACGGACCAGACUGCUACGGGAGGCAGCAGUGGGGAAUAUUGCACAAUGGGCGGAAGCCUGAUGCAGCAACGCCGCGUGCGGGAUGACGGCCUUCGGGUUGUAAACCGCUGUCGAAUGUGACGAAGCGUGAGUGACGGUAAUGGGUAAAGAAGCACCGGCUAACUACGUG
rnacentral:rRNA from 1 species